rnacentral:miRNA from 12 species
UCAGAGAUUUGCUUAUUUCAGUUUUAUAUGUAUGUGUGUGUGUGAGUGUAUGUGUGUGUAUGUAUAUAUAUACAAAUAUACACACUCACA